AAUCCCUUAAUGAGGAUCCAUUGGAGGGCAAGACUGGUGCCAGCAGCCGCGGUAACACCAGCUCCAAUAGCGUAUAUUAAAGUUGUUGCAGUUAAAAAGCUCGUAGUUGGAUAUCUGGCUUAGGCCGCCUGGUCCGUUUGUUCUUCCUCACGGAGGGAUGAAUGUGUACUGGAUGUUCGGCUUUUGCCAUCCUUCUAGAUCUUUUCUCUUCACGGGGAAGAGGUCUGGAUCUUUUACUUUGAAAAAAUUAGAGUGUUCAAAGCAGGCAGUAAUGCUGUGAAUACGUUAGCAUGGAAUAAUGAAGUAGGACUUUGGUUCUAUUUUGUUGGUUUCUAGGACUGAAGUAAUGAUUGAUAGGGAUAGUUGGGGGUGCUUGUAUUGAACGGCCAGAGGCGAAAUUCUUGGAUUCGUUCAAGACAAACUACUGCGAAAGCAUUCACCAAGGAUGUCUUCUUUAAUCAAGAACGAAAGUUGAGGGAUCGAAGACGAUCAGAUACCGUCGUAGUCUCAACAGUAAACGAUGCCGACUAAGGAUCGGUGGGUGUUGUUUUCUAUGACCCCAUCGGCACUUUACGAGAAAUCAAAGUUUUUGGGUUCCGGGGGGAGUAUGGUCGCAAGGCUGAAACUUAAAGGAAUUGACGGAAGGGCACCACCAGGAGUGGAGCCUGCGGCUUAAUUUGACUCAACGCGGGGAAACUUACCAGUUCCAGACUCAGUUAGGAUUGACAGAUUGCAGAUCUUUCUUGAUUCUGAGGGUGGUGGUGCAUGGCCGUUCUUAGUUGGUGGAGUGAUUUGUCUGGUUAAUUCCGUUAACGAACGAGACCUCAGCCUGCUAAAUAGUCGAGCGUAUGCAAUUUUUUGUAUACGUGUGCCAAUUGUCGACUUCUUAGAGGGACUGUCUGUAUCUAGCAGAAGGAAGUGUGAGGCAAUAACAGGUCUGUGAUGCCCUUAGAUGUCCUGGGCCGCACGCGGGCUACAAUGUUGCAUGCAACGAGUUUCAGUUCCCUCCUUGACCGAAAGGUCUGGGUAAUCUUUGAAAGUGCAACGUGCUUGGGAUAGACUAUUGCAAUUAUUGGUCUUCAACCAGGAAUUCCUAGUAAACGCGAGUCAUCAGCUCGCAUUGAUUACGUCCCUGCCCUUUGUACACACCGCCCGUCGCUCCUACCGAUUGAAUGAUCCGGCGAAAUCUUUGGACCGUGAAGUUGUGGCUAACCCUGCGACUUUUCUACGGGAA
rnacentral:rRNA from 1 species